rnacentral:rRNA from 1 species
GGAUGAAUAUUGGUCAAUGGACGAGAGUCUGAACCAGCCAAGUAGCGUGAAGGAUGACUGCCCUAUGGGUUGUAAACUUCUUUUAUAUGGGAAUAAAGUUCAGUAUGUAUACUGUUUUGUAUGUACCAUAUGAAUAAGGAUCGGCUAACUCCGUGCCAGCAGCCGCGGUAAUACGGAGGAUCCGAGCGUUAUCCGGAUUUAUUGGGUUUAAAGGGAGCGUAGGCGGAAGCUUAAGUCAGUUGUGAAAGUUUGCGGCUUAACCGUAAAAUUGCAGUUGAUACUGGGUUUCUUGAGUGCAGCAGAGGUAGGCGGAAUUCGUGGUGUAGCGGUGUAAUGCUUAGAUAUCACGAAGAACUCCGAUUGCGAAGGCAGCCUGCUAAGCUGCAACUGACAUUGAGGCUCGAAAGUGUGGGGUAUCAAACAGGAUUAGAUACC